rnacentral:rRNA from 1 species
CACGUAGGAGGCGAGCGUUGUCCGGAAUCAUUGGGCGUAAAGAGCGCGCAGGCGGCUUGGCAAGUCGGGUGUGAAAUCCCGGGGCUCAACCCCGUGACUGCAUCCGAUACUGUCAGGCUAGAGGUAGGUAGGGGAGAUCGGAAUUCCUGGUGUAGCGGUGAAAUGCGCAGAUAUCAGGAGGAACACCGGUGGCGAAGGCGGAUCUCUGGGCCUUACCUGACGCUGAGGAGCGAAAGUGUGGGGAGCGAACAGG